UACAGGUGUUGCAUGGCUGUCGUCAGCUCGUGUCGUGAGAUGUUCGGUUAAGUCCGCUAACGAGCGCAACCCUCGUCGUAUGUUAUAUGUGUCAUACGAGACUGCCGGUAAAAGCCGGAGGAAGGUGAGGAUGAUGUCAAGUCAGCAUGACCUUUAUAUCCAGGGCUACACACACGCUACAAUGGUCUGUACAAUGGGUAGCCAAGCCGCGAGGCGGAGCCAAUCCUGAAAGCAGGCCUCAGUUCAGAUUGCAGUCUGCAACUCGACUGCAUGAAGCCGGAGUUGCUAGUAACCGCAGGUCAGCAAUACUGCGGUGAAUACGUUCCCGGGUCUU
rnacentral:rRNA from 1 species